rnacentral:lncRNA from 1 species
AUAGAUCACAGAACACAGCGGCUUAGAUUUAGUAAGGCUUUGCACUUUAGUGUCUAAUAUGCAUAUUAGUAUCUAAUAUACAUACUGGAUUCAUAUACCCAUAAAUAACCAUAACAAAAGAAAGUAUAAUUUCAAAACAUUUGUUAUUGAUAAGAUUUGUCCUGUCCAAAAAUGAAAGAAAGCCGUAUGUGAAAUUUUAGAGCCAGAAAGGAAGUUUGGAAGUCAAUAUUUAUAACAAGAUCUUGUUUUAUUGUGGUACUUGUAAGAUAUUAUCACUAUUUCAUUAAUCUAUGAAUUAGGAGAAAUCUAAUCUUCUGUUCCUCUUUACAGCUCUGCAAAAGAGUGGCAAUGUAGCUCCAUCACCCCCGAAAACCAGGACUAAAGAGGUGAUGAAAUAUUUUAGUAUUGAAUUUAAAAUAUCAUCAUUCAGAAAUACUGGGUUUUUUUUUUCAGAUCGGCCAUAUACACACAACCUGAGCUAUGAAAAACAUGAACAAUGUAACAGAAUUCAUCCUGCUGGGCCUCACUCACAAUCCAGAACUGCAGAAACUCUUGUUUAUUAUGUUUUUAAUCAGCUACUUGAUCACAUUGGCAGUUACAAAUGAGAGAGCUGGUGGGAGCCACUGGGAGAUGCCUGAGCAGAACUAAGUUUAGAAGCUCUGAAGAAUGAAAGAUCCCAUCCUGUUCUGGUCCUCUGAAAGAAGGAGAAAGAAGAGUCAGUGUCAGGGACCAGAAGAUCUGUCUCUGUACUGAGCUUGUGGUUCCUGUGGGAGAGCCCAGAAACAUGUUUUCAGGAGAGCAUUUCUAACCCAUGGAGUUGCACAUCACCAGAUACGGACAUUUUCUGUGUUCUCAGGACUUUAUAUCAGGUCACAUCUUGCAUACAAUGCCUUUUUAAAAAUAAAUGCAUUGUCAUAAUUUCCUAUCAGUGCCUAUUUUGUAAAUACAUGCAAGCAACAGUAUGUUUUUUAAAAUUAAAUGUAUCCUUUAAAAAUGUAGUUGUAUACCAUUUGACACAGCAAUCUCAUUACUGGGUAUAUAACCAAAGGAUUAUAAAUCAUGCUACU